rnacentral:rRNA from 1 species
ACCAAUCGCAGAGUCAGCUUGAUCUUGGCUAGGAGUCGUACGGGUAGAUUUUAUCCUGGGUCGGGAAUCCGAACUGGGAAUUUCCUGGUGUAGCGGUGAAAAUGCGCAGAUAUCAGGAGGAACACCGAUGGCGAAGGCAGGUCUCUGGGGCAUUAACUGACGCUGAGGAGCGAAAGCAUGGGGAGCGAACAGGAUUAGAUACCCUGGUAGUCCCAUGCCGUAAACGUUGGGCACUAGGUGUGGGGGACAUUCCACGUUUUCCGCGCCGUAGCUAACGCAUUAAGUGCCCCGCCUGGGGAGUACGGCCGCAAGGCUAAAACUCAAAGGAAUUGACGGGGGCCCGCACAAGCGGCGGAGCAUGCGGAUUAAUUCGAUGCAACGCGAAGAACCUUACCAAGGCUUGACAUGAACCGGACCGCCGCAGAAAUGUGGUUUCCCCUUUGGGGCUGGUUUACAGGUGGUGCAUGGUUGUCGUCAGCUCGUGUCGUGAGAUGUUGGGUUAAGUCCCGCAACGAGCGCAACCCUCGUUCUAUGUUGCCAGCACGUGAUGGUGGGGACUCAUAGGAGACUGCCGGGGUCAACUCGGAGGAAGGUGGGGACGACGUCAAAUCAUCAUGCCCCUUAUGUCUUGGGCUUCACGCAUGCUACAAUGGCCGGUACAAAGGGUUGCGAUACUGUGAGGUGGAGCUAAUCCCAAAAAGCCGGUUUCAGUUCGGAUUGGGGUAUGCAACUCGACCUCAUGAA